GUAGUCCAUGCCGUAAACGUUGGGCGCUAGGUGUGGGGUCCAUUCCACGGAUUCCGUGCCGCAGCUAACGCAUUAAGCGCCCCGCCUGGGGAGUACGGCCGCAAGGCUAAAACUCAAAGGAAUUGACGGGGGCCCGCACAAGCGGCGGAGCAUGCGGAUUAAUUCGAUGCAACGCGAAGAACCUUACCAAGGCUUGACAUGCGCGGUGGAAUCCCAGAGAUGGGGUGUCAUUUAGUUGGUCGCGUACAGGUGGUGCAUGGUUGUCGUCAGCUCGUGUCGUGAGAUGUUGGGUUAAGUCCCGCAACGAGCGCAACCCUCGUUCCAUGUUGCCAGCAAUUCGGUUGGGGACU
rnacentral:rRNA from 1 species